rnacentral:rRNA from 1 species
UACAGAGGGUGCGAGCGUUAAUCGGAAUUACUGGGCGUAAAGCGCACGUAGGUGGCGACGUAAGUCGGGUGUGAAAGCCCCGGGCUCAACCUGGGAAUUGCAUUCGGGACUGCAUUGCUGGAGUACGGAAGAGGAAGGCGGAAUUCCCGGUGUAGCGGUGAAAUGCGUAGAUAUCGGGAGGAACAUCAGUGGCGAAGGCGGCCUUCUGGUCCAGUACUGACACUCAAGUGCGAAAGCGUGGGGAGCAAACAGG